rnacentral:rRNA from 1 species
CCUACGGGAGGCAGCAGUGAGGAAUAUUGGACAAUGGGCGCAAGCCUGAUCCAGCCAUGCCGCGUGCAGGAAGACGGUCCUAUGGAUUGUAAACUGCUUUUAUACAGGAAGAAACACCUCUACGUGUAGAGACUUGACGGUACUGUAUGAAUAAGCAUCGGCUAACUCCGUGCCAGCAGCCGCGGUAAUACGGAGGAUGCAAGCGUUAUCCGGAAUCAUUGGGUUUAAAGGGUCCGUAGGCGGUUUAAUAAGUCAGUGGUGAAAGCCCAUCGCUCAACGAUGGAACGGCCAUUGAUACUGUUAAACUUGAAUUAUUAGGAAGUAACUAGAAUAUGUAGUGUAGCGGUGAAAUGCUUAGAGAUUACAUGGAAUACCAAUUGCGAAGGCAGGUUACUACUAAUAUAUUGACGCUGAUGGACGAAAGCGUGGGGAGCGAACAGGAUUAGAUACCCUGGUAGUCCACGCCGUAAACGAUGGAUACUAGCUGUUCGGAGCAAUCUGAGUGNGUAGAGAAGAGAUAAGUAUACCACCUCGGGAGGUACGUUACGUCGAAGAAGUAGAAACGUACAAAUAGAAGUUAGUACGGACGUAGAGACGUUAGCCGACGGACGACGACGAGGGGAGGUAGGAG